ensembl:lncRNA
CAAGAAUUUGCGGGAGUAAGAGGGGAGAAAAAGUGCUAUUCAUCCUGCCAUUAUCUUACCAGUCUGUGUUCCUUUGGACAGUAAUCAUGGGACCCAGAUGUUAAGGUUUCAGCUUCUCUACUGCUGUAUUUGGUAAGCAUCCUCCAGUAGAGCAACAGGAUUGAAGUGUGCAGGAGCUGGAUAAUACCCAACUUGGGGCAUUAUGAUCUUGUGUGCAUAUAACAGCAAAGGACCCAGAUCCGCCCCAAUACUCCAGGUUAUGUCCUGUCUCAUGGACUACUACAGAAGCACUAAAACCGUCGCACACAAAGGCACCACGGGACUCCCACCAUCACCAGAGCUCUCCGCCUGCCUCUGGCGCUAGCUGUCAGAACCGCUUCAGCUGAAAUCAAGUUCUUUAGAUUUAUGCAGUAGCCAUGUUUGUCAAAGUAUUUGGCUCUGGUGACAUCAUCUUUGUUGAAACGCCGGACAGCAUGAUGAGUCCCAGAUGUUAAUGCACACUGAGAGUCGAGAAAGAAUAAAAUCCAAAGAUCAACACUAACAGCUCUGGAGGAGUGCACUCACUUUGCACUCUGGGGUUGAUGGAUGAAUACGUGAUUUUUUCCAAGGCAUCCUAAAGCUGUUAAACCUUACAGUCUGUUUUCUUUCUGCCUGGCUUGUAAACUUUCGGCUCGGUGAAAGAAGUUGUGAGUUAUUUUCCUCUGGCAAAUGAAGCUCCAGGCAUGGAUCCCUUGCUGCUGACACAGUGCAAAGGAUAAAAAAGCCAUUUAAAAGACGGGUAAGAACAAACAACGUGAUUAAAGGGAGCUGCCAAAAGCUGUACAAGUGUCAGCUGCCACCACUGCUCGUUACAUGGAUGAAGCUGUUGACUUUUAAUUUAUAGACAUUUGAGAAGGUGUACGUGAAGACUUGAAAAGAAGGCUUUCUUUUGCUAAAAGAAAAAAGAGAACUGUUAUUAAGAACCUCUGCUGAAAUACACUGAAUUACUUCUGCUGGUCUGUGCUAUUUGCCAAUGAGAUCUUUCUGGUUGUGUCAGAAGAUGUUCAGUCUGUCAUUCAGAUCCUCAAGCAGUGAAAUGGAGGAGAUAGUAUUUGACCAUCUGGCACUGUCUUCUUGGGCUUUACUGACUGCAAAAACAGAAGAUGUUCUGCUGAGUGAUGACUGGUUUUUGUCCUGUCAUGUCCUGAGUUUCCACAUCCCCCUGCUCGAAGAAAUGCCAGUUCUUCCAACCACUUCUUUUUUCCUGGAUACCUGUCAACUGUUCACAUUCAGAGACCUUGGAAGGGUAACCAACUUUGAAGAUUUUGUAGACGGCUUUUUGCCCGAAUGGGAAACUGCUGAGUUUCAUCUCAUCCCUGUAGUGGUUAAUUCCAGGACACUGGGAAAGACCCCGAGCUCUAAACGUUGGAUUAAGAUCUUCACUUCAGCAGCUGAGACAAUCACACUCAGGAAACUGGGAAAAAGAGUCCUGAGGGCAGAAAGAAAGGAGAUCUACCUGGUGGUGGCAGAACAAAAAGAUUACACAACCUUGCAAGAAGAAUGUUAUUUAAGAGAAUCCUCAAAGGCCGCUCUAAGGAUUGCUGCUGAGAAUAAAGCACCUGAGAUGGAUAAUGUUCUUACAACAAAAGAGUUUAAAAUAAAAGGUUCAGUCUUGCAAGAUGUGAAUAUAAGAAGCUAUCUUCAACUGAAAAGUCUAUAGAAGAGAUUUUGGAACAAACAGAAGAUCAACAGGAUCUAAUUGUGAGGAGCGGACGAUACUUCUUCAGAUGGAACUGAAAUGUGAAAUUGCAGAAUUUUAACUUCGGUACCAGGUGCAAAGAGUGAGUAAUGUGGUGAUCAGAAGGAAGGCUGACUGUCUGAAAAGAAGCUGGGCCCAGUAAAACCGGUUGAGAAGGGACACAAUUGCUGUCUAUAAAUUUAUGAUGAGGUGACUACUUCAUCAACUUGGCUUUUCACUGGCACAGAAGAACCAGAAAAUGAACCUGGCACUAGAAGCCUGUGUUUCUUCUGCAGCUGGGAAAGCGAUGGGCCUCUCCAGAGCAAGAUUCACCAAAGGUAAAUUGUUAUAGGAUUUUUCUGCAGGGAAAAGGGCUGCUAGAAUGGACCAUGCCAAAGUAUGUUACUGGUGGAGUGAGAGGUAAAUUGAUAAGAUAUAAAAACAUGAUACAAAAAAGAAGGUUCUUCAGUGAGGUAUGAGUCAUAUGGUAGAUAGCAUAUAAAUGAUAAGCAUGACAGAUGAUAACCUGUACUGCCAAGUGCAACCUCUGAAGUAAAAAUGGGCACACAUUUCUCAAAAAAAAUACAGCCAUUGUUCUGUGGUGUUGACAUCCUCCUAAUAGUCAUAUCUGUUCACAGAAGUCAUAUCUGAGAAAAGAAAAUAACAUUUUUGUUUUACAUGGCUUGACAUCUUCAGAAGACUCAACAGGGGAAGAUUUGGUAAUUCUAAAAUUUACAGCACUGUAUAAUUAAAGCACUGAAGAGGUGGAAAAAACCCAACUGUAUAAUGAUUAAGAAUGACUUUCAGACGUUUGUGAUGACACAUCUGCCUCUUAUAUGAAUUUCCCCAAGUUUUCAUAAAAGAAGUGUACUGCAGCCUUGAAAAGCCUGAUUUUAUUACAGAUCAUUGUCAUCACUUCUGAGCUGCUUUUAGGAGAGCUCUUAACUCUAGGGAUCUCCAGCCAGCUACUUGACAAAACACCCCUCACAUGUUGACUUUCAAGGUGCUUUGGCAAACCAUAAUUGGAUAAUUUUGAAGUGCUUUUAUUGGUAUUGGAAACUACCAGUGUUGUGACAUAUAGAACCAACUUCAAUAGUAAUGUCAGAUUUUAUAUAAUGUUUGAAUUAAGCACUAUUGUUCUUAAUUAUUCUUGGUUAACCAUUUUAAAUGAUCACAUAACAAGAAAAAAAGGAGUUAUAUAUUUUAUAAGAGUUCUUAAAUGGGAUGAGUGGAUCUUAAACAUUCAGCAGGUGGAGAGUAUGUGUCUAAUAUGGACAGCAGAGUCCAUGUUUGUAUUUUAUAUGACAAGAAGCAGCAACUUGUUAAUUAAGUAAAUAUUGUAGUAAGUAUGGCUCUGACAUCCACUCGAAGCUUAUAACUCCCCAGGGAACUGAUGCUUAAUUUGUGGCCGUGAUAAUAACAACCUAAUGAACUUCCCAUCUUACUGGAUAGCUUAAUAAACUUCAAAGAAAACAAAACAAGAAUCUAUGAGUAAAAGUACAUCCUUAGCUUUUCAUAAAACAAAAUGAGCAUGAGUCGAGGCCCAGCAUGGCUUCCAAAGUUAAAGCUACCAACUACAAAGCAAAUGUAUGCAGAGAAAUGUACAACAAAAGACAUAGCUUUUAAACCUCCAGUUGAGUUUCCAUAAAUGUUGCUUACAAAAGCUACCAUUCUCUAUGUUAACAAAAAGUUGUGGAUAUGUUCUUCACUAAAUCCUCUUUUCCCAUAUAAUCCACCUUGUGCACUUUAUCUCAAGUGUGUUUUAUCUGAUCUAAUCCCAGGCUCAUUCAUUCUCAGAUAGAAGCAACAGGAUUAUUUCACACUUAAACUGAGCCCAAUCUUUCUGUGUGUCCAUAAGAGGACACCUGGGUAAUGAGAAAUUAUCUAUGGAACAAAAGAUUAAGCAGGUGCUAGGAAAAAAAAAUAAUUCUUUCAAGUAUGGCAAUUUUUUAAGGAAAAUAUAAAACAUUUCAUUGAGAAGAAUGUUCAUAGGAGGCACUACAUUUUAAAAUACAUGAUCUUAUGCCAUACUUAGUACCAAUAUUACUUGGGAUGAGUUAUAUCAGAACAAACAAAAAAAAUCUGUUUCUAUCACUAAAGCAACUUUGAUUUUCCUGGGAUUAAUUUGAAUUUCCGUGGGUUUUAAUCAGGUCAUAGAGACAAGUUCAUAUCCAGACAUAUUUUAUUUUCCUUACUCUACCAGCCCUUAGCUUAAAACACUUUCAGUUUCUGGGACAGGGUGGCAGAGAGGCUUCAGGACUUUGCCUGUGCAUCCUCUUUGGCUCUUAGAGACCUCAAGAUUACCUCAAAUAAUGUCUGUUGUUUCUAGCAUAUACAAGACUCUCGAUGCUGGAUGUGAAGGCAGAGAAACAAUUUACUGUUUUAAAACAAAGAGCCUGUUCCUCAGGAGACAUAGACUGGUAAAGUAUGUCAUUAUUUUCCAAUCAUUCCCUCCUUCCCUUUUGUCAUCAGCCUCCUCCUGGACCAGUGUAUAACAGCAGAGAAUUUGUCCCUUAAUUCUGUAGGCACAGUGAGACUGUGGACUGAUGAUUUGACUUUCUGAGUGGUAGUCCUUUGAGUUUUCUUCUCUCUAAAGAAAUGCAACAGAAGUACAGUAUGUAAAUAGUUUCACAGGAUUCAAAUGAGUACAUUACUGAAUUAUUACACUAGAGAUUGAAAACAGAUACAUGUUACAGAGGAAAAGAAAAACCCAACAAAAUCCUCAGAUCUCAGGACACAGAUUAAUUUGCUGAACUGGCUAAUAGGGAAGAAAAGUCCAGUAGCUUGUAACAAAGUGUAGGUUUGGCAUUUUUUUCCAUUGUAAUAUCUGGUACUGUGCGAUGUCAAUCACAGAAUGAAAGAUUGAGUAGUCAAGAAAUGUAGAGUUUUUAUGGUCUGUACCUUGUUUGGGUAUAAAGAUGGAUCUGGAGUUUACACUGGGCUUGUAUUUGGAAAGGGAAGAUCCUAGAGCUCCAUUCCUUUGGAUGUAUGCAGAGAAGUGUGAGGGCUGGACACCUUGUAAGUAAAAGAAUUUAUAAUCUGAUGGUAAGAAGCUAGGCUACCAGGUUCAAAAAUGUUUCUUA